ensembl:snRNA U6 U6 spliceosomal RNA
GUGCUUGCUUCAGCAGCACAUAUACUAAAAUUAAAAUGAUAGAGAAGAUUAUCAUGGACUCUGCAAGGAAGACUUCCAAAUUCAUGAAGUGUGCCAUAAACAA